AGGUGGUGCAUGGUUGUCGUCAGCUCGUGUCGUGAGAUGUUGGUUAAGUCCCGCAACGAGCGCAACCCUUUAUUGCUAGUUACCAUCAUUAAGUUGGGGACUCUAGCGAGACUGCCAGUGAUAAACUGGAGGAAGGUGGGGAUGACGUCAAAUCAUCAUGCCCCUUAUGACCUGGGCUACAAACGUGAUACAAUGGCUGAAACAAAGGGCAGCGAAGCAGUGAUGUGAAGCGAAACCCAAAAAAGCAGUCUCAGUUCGGAUUGAAGUCUGCAACUCGACUUCAUGAAGUCGGAAUCGCUAGUAAUCGCGAAUCAGAAUGUCCACGGUCGAAUACGUUCCCGGGCCUU
rnacentral:rRNA from 1 species